AGAGUUUGAUCCUGGCUCAGAACGAACGCUGGCGGCGUGCCUAACACAUGCAAGUCGAACGAGAACGUGGGCUUCGGCCCACUAGUAAAGUGGCAGACGGGUGAGUAACACGUGGGUAACCUGCCCGGAGGUGGGGGAUAACCCCCCGAAAGGGGGGCUAAUACCGCAUAAUAUCUCGAGCACUUCCGUGCUCGAGAUCAAGCUAGCCUCUUCUUGUAAGCUAGUGCCACCGGAGGGGCCCGCGGCCCAUUAGUUUGUUGGUGAGGUAACGGCUCACCAAGGCGACGAUGGGUAGCCGGCCUGAGAGGGUGAUCGGCCACACUGGAACUGAGACACGGUCCAGACUCCUACGGGAGGCAGCAGUCGGGAAUUUUGGGCAAUGGGGUAAACCCUGACCCAGCAAUGCCGCGUGAGGGAUGAAGGCCUUCGGGUCGUAAACCUCUGUCGGGAGGGAAGAACGGCGGGUGGCCAAUACCCCGGGGGACUGACGGUACCUCCAAAGGAAGCACCGGCUAACUCCGUGCCAGCAGCCGCGGUAAUACGGAGGGUGCAAGCGUUGUUCGGAAUUACUGGGCGUAAAGCGCGUGUAGGCGGCUUGGCAAGUCGGAUGUGAAAGCCCGGGGCUCAACCCCGGAAUGGCAUCCGAAACUGCCUAGCUAGAGUCCCGGAGAGGAAGGCAGAAUUCCCAGUGUAGGGGUGAAAUCCGUAGAUAUUGGGAGGAUACCAGUGGCGAAGGCGGCUUUCUGGACCCAUACUGACGCUGAGACGCGAAAGCGUGGGGAGCAAACAGGCUUAGAUACCCUGGUAGUCCACGCCGUAAACGAUGAUCACUCGAUGUGUGCGAUAUACAGUACGCGUCCAAGCGAAAGCAUUAAGUGCGCCGCCUGGGGAGUACGGCCGCAAGGCUAAAACUCAAAGGAAUUGACGGGGGCUCACACAAGCGGGGGAGCAUGUGGAUUAAUUCGAAGCAACGCGAAGACCUUACCUGGGUUUGACAUGCUAGGAUGCACCCGUGAAAGCGGGCUAUGCUGCUCUUCGAGUGAAACUAGCACAGGUGCUGCACGGCUGUCGUCAGCUCGUGCUGUGAAGUGUCGGGGUAAGUCCCUAAACGAGCGAAACCCCUAUCGUUAGUUACCAGCGGGUCAUGCCGGGGACUCUAGCGAGACUGCCGGCGUUAAGCCGGAGGAAGGUGGGGACGACGUCAAGUCAUCAUGGCCUUUAUGCCCAGGGUGUCACACGUGCUACAAUGGCGGCUACGAGCGACGCAAGACCGUGAGGUGGAGCAAAUCGCAGAAAGGUCGCCCCAGUUCGGAUUGGAGUCUGCAACUCGACUCCAUGAAGUUGGAAUCGCUAGUAAUCGCGUAUCAGCCACGACGCGGUGAAUAUGUUCCUGAGCCUUGUACACACCGCCCGUCAAGUCAUGGAAGCUGGGAGUACCCGAAGUCCGCUUAGCUAACCCUCGGGAGGCGGCGGCCGACGGUAAGCCUGGUGACUGGGUGAAGUCGUAACAAGGUAACC
rnacentral:rRNA from 1 species